CUGUAACCUCUCUGUGGCAGCUUCUCACAGACUCAAUCAACUCCUCUUCCCCUCCCCCCUCAAACACAAACACAAACACAAACACACACACACACACACAGAUACCCCCUCCCAAAAGGAGAUAAAACUCAGUUUUAACUUGAGUUUACAAGCUUUGAGCUUUGAGCAAAAGCAUUUUUUUGCAAGUUCUGUUAUUGGGUGCAUAUAUAAAUCAUUUAUGCUUAAACAAGGGUUAUAAUGAAGUUAUUUGAACAGUGAAUAUCUCAUCUGCCUAAAGUCAGGGCGAAGCCACUAACCAGCUGUAGGGAUGGGUAUCAUUAGGAUUUUAUCUUUAUCCAUACAGACCCCUAUCAGUCCAGCUCAGACUGUUACUGGUUUAAGAGAGUGAAGUUUAUAGCAAUUUGCAAAAUUUGGAGAUUAGUGACAAACUAACCAGUUAGACUACAUACAGACAAGCUUUCAUUUUAGCUGUUAGUAACAGUUUGCCAUGAGCUUAACCAGCGUGCUGUGCUUCGUGUUAAACAUGUCAUGAGACUGUGGACAACGUUUGAGCCAGCUUUGACAUCUGCAGAUAUGAGUUUCUGAAGAGGGGCCUGCUGAGGUUAGAUGUGCUGAAUAAUAUCCAUUUUCAUAUCAGAAAAAACACUGCAUUAAACAUUGUCUUAGCUCACUGAGCUGAGGUCAACAGGUAAUAUAACCAACCUGUGAGGUGGCUCACCCCCGUAAGAUAAACACAUAAAUGAUCCCUGAUAGAACCGAUAAUUAAAGGCACAUCAGUGACAGGGAAUGCUAUUAAAACUAAACUAUAAACUGGUGACAUUAACUGCAAAAGAAGAUUUUUAUUGAUACAUUUCAGGUAGAAUUUAGUUUUCAAUAAGGAAAAUGCUGUAAGAAACCUGAAUUUGUUGCAACAAAUUUAAAAUAAAAGCUUUUAUGCUAAUUAUUUUCUGUGAUAAUAUUUUUCAGAGCUCAUCAUCUGUGACAGCUCUUGGCUCUCCUGACUGUAACCUCCCUGUGGCAGCUUCUCACAGACUCAAUCAACUCCUCUUCCCCUCCCCCCUCAAACACACACACACAGACACACACACACAGAGACCCCCUUCCAAAAACCCAUCAAAGAGUAAUACAAUGGCUCCAUCUGUAGGAUAAAGUAGAGAGUCGCAACAGGAAGUUACCCCAAAAUCUGAGGUUUCAAACAGGAAGUUGGGUUUCCGAACUUUGACGGGCCAGAACCGGCACACGCUUCGACCCAAACUCACAAUUUUCGGAGGACUUCUUCCAAAAAUUGUCAAGGAGGGGCUGACAACAUUUGAAGUGAAUCUGGUCACCCGUCUAGAAACUGGACAUCACACUAUAAAAUAUGUCAUUUCCUGCUAUAAAUAGGUGGUGCUACAACAAUUGUAUGAAUAUUGACAUAUGGAUGUGUGCAGAUAGGUACCAUUAACAAUCCUGUAAAGUUUGAUGCAGUUUGGACAAAGUAUGGCCGAAAUAUAGCAAAAAUAAAGCAACUUCCUGUUUCGUGGCGAGUAAUCGAACUUUGAGGGGCCAUAACUUCCACGCCCUUCAACAAAAACUCAAAAUCUGCCGCAAUUUAACAUCGUCUAUGUCUUAAGAACAUACUAUUAAGUUUUGAAGUCAAUGGGAUAAUGCGUCUAGGACUAGUUCGCGUUCAAGCGACCCCUGGAAAUGGCCAAAAACACACAAUUUUUUCACCUUCCGGUCAAAAUAAAAAUACUUUCUGUUGGGUUUAGAAUAUGGCUCCAAGAGACUUUUUGGUGCGUCAUGGGAUGUUACAUAUGUGUGCAGAUUUUCAGAUUUUUAGGCGCAACGGGCUUGAGGGGCUGUUCCGUUUAAAAAUGUAGGUGGCGCUACCGAGGGCAUUUUACCACGCCCAUGCUCAAGACCCCUAAAUUAUUAAAUUUUUCGCCGUGCCUGACGCGUCUGCAAAUUUUGGUAAGUUUUCACGCAUGUUAAGGCCCUCAAAAAGCCGAUCUAAGAGGCGGAAAAAGAAGAAAAAAAAUAAUAAUAAUAAUAAUAAUAAUAAUAAUAAUAAUAAACAGACCGAAAACAAGAGGGUCCUUGCAACUCGUUGCAUGGCCCCGUUGGGCCCACGCAACUCGUUGCUCGGGCCCUAAUUAAAGCUGCGAGCAGCGUUGAACGGGCCCUCGCACCCGGCGCCCGUCGGGGGAGCGGCGACCGCGGGACCCCGGCAACCGCGGGGUCAACGCAGGUCGCAGGGCACACGCUGGCGUAACAGUUCACACUUCCCAGAUGUAAAAAUUUAAAAUAAAAGCUUUUACGCUAAUUAUUUUCUGUGAUAAUAUUUUUCAGAGCUCAUCAUCUGUGACAGCUCUUGGCUCUCCUGACUGUAACCUCUCUGUGGCAGCUUCUCACAGACUCAAUCAACUCCUCUUCCCCUCCCCCCUCAAACACAAACACAAACACACACACACACACACACACAAACACAGAGAGAGAUACCCCCUCCCAAAAGGAGAUAAAACUCAGUUUUAACUUGAGUUUAAAAGCUUUGAGCUUUGAGCAAAAGCAUUUUUUUUAAGUUCUGUUAUUGGGUGCAUAUAUAAAUCAUUUAUGCUUAAACAAGGCUUAUAAUGAAGUUAUUUGAACAGUGAAUAUCUCAGCUGCCUAAAGUCAGGGCGAAGCCACUAACCAGCUGUAGGGAUGGGUAUCAUUCGGAUUUUAUCUUUAUCCAUACAGACCCCUAUCAGUCCAGCUCAGACUGUUACUGGUUUAAGAGAGUGAAGUUUAUAGCAAUUUGCAAAAUUUGGAGAUUAGUGACAAACUAACCAGUUAGACUACAUACAGACAAGCUUUCAUUUUAGCUGUUAGUAACAGUUUGCCAUGAGCUUAACCAGCGUGCUGUGCUUCCUGUUAAACAUGUCAUGAGACUGUGGACAACGCUGAAAAUAUUACUUUACUAACUACUGGCUGAACAGGCGCUUUGACAAAGAAAAGGUAAAGGCCAGCAGCUUUUACUUUUCAAUGCACUUGUCGUCAACUUGAGUGGCUUAUAUUCAGCUGGUUCACCUCGACGCCGGUGGAUGUAGACAUGCACUUUUCCUGUUGCCGUACACUGAGUAACACGAAAAAAUCAGCUGACCCCUUGUGAAAUUUCCUAACUGAUCAAAACCAAACUGUAAAGACAGCAUCAAUCCACGCUCAGCUUUGGUCAAGGGGAGACAUAUGGUAAGAUUACAUGAAUUCAAAAUAACCUACAAUUCCUUCAAAUUAAUUUGAAGCCAGUUUAAUUUUUUGAGCCAGCUUUGACAUCUGCAGAUAUGAGUUUCUGAAGAGGGGCCUGCUGAGGUUAGAUGUGCUGAAUAAUAUCCAUUUUCAUAUCAGAAAAAACACUGCAUUAAACAUUGUCUUAGCUCACUGAGCUGAGGUCAACAGGUAAUAUAACCAACCUGUGAGGUGGCUCACCCCCGUAAGAUAAACACAUAAAUGAUCCCUGAUAGAACCGAUAAUUAAAGGCACAUCAGUGACAGGGAAUGCUAUUAAAACUAAACUAUAAACUGGUGACAUUAACUGCAAAAGAAGAUUUUUAUUGAUACAUUUCAGGUAGAAUUUAGUUUUCAAUAAGGGAAACAGUGUAAGAAACCUGAAUUUGUUGCAACAAAUUUAAAAUAAAAGCUUUUAUGCUAAUUAUUUUCUGUGAUAAUAUUUUUCAGAGCUCAUCAUCUGUGACAGCUCUUGGCUCUCUUGACUGUAACCUCCCUGUGGCAGCUUCUCACAGACUCAAUCAACUCCUCUUCCCCUCCCCCCUCAGACACACACACACACACACACACACACACACACACACACACAGAGACCCCCUUCCAAAAACCCAUCAAAGAGUAAUACAAUGGCUCCAUCUAUAGGAUAAAGUCGAGAGUCGCAACAGGAAGUUACCCCAAAAUCUGAGGUUUCAAACAGGAAGUUGGGUUUCUGAACUUUGACGGGCCAGAACCGGCACACGCUUCGACCAAAACUCACAAUUUUCGGAGGACUUCUUCCAAAAAUUGUCAAGGAGAGGCUGACAACAUUUGAAGUGAAUCUGGUCACCCGUCUAGAAACAGGACAUCACACUAUAAAAUAUGUAAUUUCCUGCUAUAAAUAGGUGGUGCUACAACAAUUGUAUGAAUAUUGACAUAUGGAUGUGUGCAGAUAGGUACCAUUAACAAUCCUGUAAAGUUUGAUGCAGUUUGGACAAAGUAUGGCCGAAAUAUAGCAAAUAUAAAGCAACUUCCUGUUUCGUGGCGAGUAAUCGAACUUUGAGGGGCCAUAACUUCCACGCCCUUCAAUGAAAAGUCCGAAACUUUUGCAAUUUAACUUCGUCUAUGUCUUAAGAACAAAUUAUCAAAUUUUGAAGUCAAUCGGAUAAUGCGUCUAGGACUAGUUCGCGUUCAAGCGACCCCUGGAAAUGGCCAAAAACACACAAUUUUUUCACCUUCCGGUCAAAAUAAAAAUACUUUCUGUUGGGUUUAGAAUAUGGCUCCAAGAGACUUUUUGGUGCGUCAUGGGAUGUUACAUAUGUGUGCAGAUUUUCAGAUUUUUAGGCGCAACGGGCUUGAGGGGCUGUUCCGUUAAAAAUGUAGGUGGCGCUACCGAGGCCAUUUUGCCACACCCAUGCUCAAGACCCCUAAAUUCUUACAUUUUUCGCCGUGCCUGACGCGUCUGCAAAUUUUCAGGAGUUUUGACGCAUGUUAAGGCCCUCAAAAAGCCGAUCAAAGAG